ACAGGCCUCACCUCAGCAUAAUUUAUGUCUCCUAGCAACCAUGACUGCUGUUGAACCCACGUUGGGAGCUGCACUGAACUGAAGCAAUGGAGAACGAUGUGGCUUUCAUUGAUAUUACUUAAUAUGUUUCAUAAAGUGAACUGAACCAAACUGAAUGUCUACGUAGGAAGUUGAAUCCAGCAUGUUCGCUGGGGCACCAGAGAAAGAGGAUGCACGUGCUAUGACAUUAGCAAGUAGCUGUACAAAAGUAAUUUAAGUUUAAGAAGUCCUUCAUUACUCUCAUUUCUACCUCAAAAAGAAAGGUCAGCCAGCGAGUUCGAUGGUGGUGUUGACGUCAAUAAGAAAAUGGAGUUGUAACAAGAACAACUUUAAAGAUUUUCAUCAAAGUUGACUUCACACCAGCAGUUCAGCGAACUCAUUAUUGCCGUCAAGAAGAGGUGGAAGUGAUAGUACCUGCUAUUUAAAAUUCUAA